rnacentral:rRNA from 1 species
CACCUUGCCGCCGCGCCGCACCUCGCUGUCGAGGAGCGCGUGCACCUGGCUGCGCUCGAUUGCGCGCGUCGUCACGAGCGGCGCGGGCGCGGGGGCCGGCGCGGGCGCCGGCGGCGCGACGCGCGCGGGCUUGCGCGGCGGCGCGGCCUCGCGGUGCGGCUUCUUCGGCGGCGCGGUCUCGGCGGGUUCGGGCGCGCUCGCGGGCUCGGGCGCCGCGAUGGGCUCGCUCGCCGGCUCGACGGGCACGGCGACGGCUUCCACGACGGGCGCGCUCGCUUGCGGCGCGCGGAACAGCGCGCAACCGGACAGCGCGAGCGUGGCGAGGACGACGGGUGCCGCGGCGGCGACGGGACGGGGAAGACGGAAGGCAGAACGCGGGAAUCCGCCGCUCAUCAAGCAAUACUCCAUGGACGGGGGCGAGCCGGGUGGGCGCGCCGCUGGCGAUGAUGGCUGACGCCCGAAGGGCAUCGCGGGAGGACAGAGUUUAACCUGUGAGGAAUGCAUGCCGUGAAACGGCGCCGCGCGACGGGGGCAGGCGGGCGUUCGAAUCGACGGCGCGCCCGUGCGAGGCGGCAAUGAAAGCGGAGGGCCGGGUGGCGAUGGAUCGGCGCGGGCGGAUGGGACGGGGCGUCGGGCGAGUCGUUUGGUGCUUUUGGUUUUCUUGUGCUGCUGGUUCUCGUUUGGUCGCCCGUCGCUCGUCGCUCGUCACUUGUCGGCUUGUCCGCUUGCCGCUUGCCGGUUGCCGUCUUUCAUCGGCCGAUUCGGUUGCGGACGGCGGUUGCCGCCGUAACUGCAGCGCGGCGCGGCCGCCGCCACCGUCACUGCGGCCAGAUUCGCCAUCGGGCGGGACAAGAGCGCCGCGUCGAUCGUCGCGCGGCAACGAAAAACCGUGGGAGUCAGGCGCAGGUGCCGAGGGGCCGGCGCCGAACGUCGAAUGCCCGGCAUCGGGCGCGGGGCGUUAGCGCCCGGCGUCGCGAGCCCCGCGCUCGGCGCCAGGAACCCGGCGCUCAGCGUCCGGGAGUCGGGACAUCAGCCGCCAUUCUCCAAGCGUGCCGGGCCGGCUCGGUUUGUCCGUCUACACCGUCUCCGGAAUCGGAUUCCUGAAGCUCACGUUCAGCAGAUUCCAAGCAUUGAUCGUUGCGAUCGCGAAGCCGAGUUCGGCGAUUUCCGCGUCGGAAAAAUGUGCCUGCAACUGCGCGAACGCUUCGUCGCUCGGGUCCGUGUGCGGAAUCCGCGCGACGCUUUCCGCCCAUUGCAGCGCGGCGCGCUCGCGGGCGUCGAAGAAGGGCGCCUCGCGCCAGCCGGCGACCGCGUUCAGAUGCCGC